AUUGAACGCUGGCGGCAUGCCUUACACAUGCAAGUCGAACGGAUUGAAGGGGCUUGCUCCUUCAGUUAGUGGCGAACGGGUGAGAAAAGCAUCGGAACGUACCCAGUCGUGGGGGAUAACGUAGCGAAAGUUACGCUAAUACCGCAUACGAUCUGAGGAUGAAAGCGGGGGAUCGCAAGACCUCGCGCGAUUGGAGCGGCCGAUGUCGGAUUAGCUAGUUGGUGAGGUAAAGGCUCACCAAGGCGACGAUCCGUAGCUGGUCUGAGAGGAUGAUCAGCCACACUGGAACUGGGACACGGUCCAGACUCCUACGGGAGGCAGCAGUGGGGAAUGUUGGACAAUGGGGGAAACCCUGAUUCAGCCAUGCCGCGUGAGUGAAGAAGGCCUUCGGGUUGUAAAGCUCUUUCAGUCGGAAAGAAAAGGCUCCGGAUAAUACCUGGAGUUGAUGACGGUACCGACAGAAGAAGCACCGGCUAACUACGUGCCAGCCGCCGCGGUAA
rnacentral:rRNA from 1 species